CUGUAACAUCGCUGGUAUAUCUUAAGAAAGAUAACAAGAUACACCACUUUAGCUUCAAAAUCGAAAUCGCCCCCAAAAACCACAAUCAUCUUCAAAGGAACCAAAAUCAACUUUCGAUCUGCAGCUAUCGCCGCCUCAUUUUCAACUCAUGGACCAAAUUUGGAGUCGCCGGAAAAAUAGACGAUUGUGAGGAAAAUAACGGAAAAGGUGAUUCGUCAAGCAACCUUGAGAAAGAGUGAUACAUGUUUUUGUUUUCUCCGUUAGAAAAGAGCCAAGAAGAGCUCCUGAUUAGGGAUUGAUGCAUGUGUUGGAGGUUACUUAUCCAUAUCUACAAAUUGUGUUAAAUGAGAUGAAAAUUGUUUAUGUA